rnacentral:misc_RNA from 1 species
AAGACUAUAGACCUGCGGAGUACCUGCGGAGGGAUCAUUAUUGAAUAACUUGGAUGCUGAUGCUGGCGUGAAAGCACAUGUGCUCGCGUUCAUCUUAUUUCAAAUCCCUUUGUGCACCUUUCUAGUCUCGAAUUCGAAAAGGAACCUCUCACUCUUGAUCACCUACAUCUCUGGGUAAACCGGAGCGUUGGAUGUGCUUGAGCGCUUUCAUUAGCGUUCUCACUAGUCCUAUGUUCUUGA